GUAAUUUUGAAUGUUUAGUCAAUUAGCAUUAUGGGUAAUGUAGAGGUUCUACAGUUUCCAAAUUGUCCUACAAAUGCGUAGGCCUACAUCAUAUGCAUUGUGACAGAACAGUAUCCCAUGGAAUACUGAAACAUUCCCAACACAAAAACACAGCGGAAAUAAAGUGGCCAAUGGCAGGACGUGCUUAUUUUGAGUUUAAAUUAGGGAAAUCUGAAAAUUGUAGGAGAUUCCCCAACAGUCUAUCUUCAUGGAUGUUACACCUGGAUGUGUGCACGUCUGCAGAUGGGCUCAGCUACAUACGUGGAAGACACAAGCCAUAAUCACUUUCGCUAUUUUCUGUGGCUUAUAGGUAUUUAGUUGAGUUUUUUUUUUUAAAUGUAUGUGCUAAUGCCAAAAGUAGUAUGUUUGCAUGAGAGACCUUGUUCAAGUGGUAUUACUGUAAUCUGUUCAUCACAUAAGUAUGUCUUCCAAGAUGAUGUUUGCUAGUUAUUCGCAGUCAGCUCAAUUGCAAAGCCUACCAUUAACUACUAUUAAAAUGAUCGUUGUAAAAAAAAAUGCCAGGCCUCUUAUCCCGACUGGCUUUCAGACCUGUCAAUCACCUCUCUGUUUCAACCAAUCAGGGCGCUCGAACGCACUCCAGGGGUCCAACCCGCACUCCUCAGUUAGAGCACGUUCACCUGCCGUUUCAAGAAGAUGCACGUUAUGUUUGAGGGACGCACAACACUUCAAGAUAGAAAACAGCAUGUGGGAGUCCGUCAUUACACAACUUGCAUCUACUUGAGACUGCAGGUGAACACGCUCUAACUUGAGGUGUGCGGGUCGGAG
rnacentral:lncRNA from 1 species